CAGCAGCCGCGGUAAUACGGAGGAUCCGAGCGUUAUCCGGAAUUAUUGGGUUUAAAGGGUGCGUAGGCGGAUAGAUAAGUCAGUGGUGAAAGACGGUGGCUCAACCAUCGCAGUGCCGUUGAUACUGUUUAUCUUGAAUAUGGAUGAGGUAGGCGGAAUGUGGCAAGUAGCGGUGAAAUGCAUAGAUAUGCCACAGAACACCGAUUGCGAAGGCAGCUUACCAAGGCAAAAUUGACGCUGAGGCACGAAAGCGUGGGGAUCGAACAGGAUUAGAUACCCCGCUAGUCCCUGUCUCUUAUAC
rnacentral:rRNA from 1 species